rnacentral:rRNA from 1 species
UACGUAGGGUGCAAGCGUUGUCCGGAAUUACUGGGCGUAAAGAGCUCGUAGGCGGUUUGUCGCGUCGUCUGUGAAAACCAGCAGCUCAACUGUUGGCUUGCAGGCGAUACGGGCAGACUUGAGUAUUUCAGGGGAGACUGGAAUUCCUGGUGUAGCGGUGAAAUGCGCAGAUAUCAGGGAGGAACACCGGUGGGCGAAAGGCGGGUCUCUGGGAAAUAACUGACGCUGAGGAGCGAAAGCGUGGGUAGCGAACAGG